GCUGACAGCAGUAGCGUGCAGGAUGACGGCCCUAUGGGUUGUAAACUGCUUUUAUGUGGGGAUAAAGUGAGCUACGUGUAGUUUAUUGCAGGUACCACAUGAAUAAGGACCGGCUAAUUCCGUGCCAGCAGCCGCGGUAAUACGGAAGGUCCAGGCGUUAUCCGGAUUUAUUGGGUUUAAAGGGAGCGUAGGCCGUGGAUUAAGCGUGUUGUGAAAUGUAGACGCUCAACGUCUGAAUUGCAGCGCGAACUGGUUCACUUGAGUAUGCACAACGUAGGCGGAAUUCGUCGUGUAGCGGUGAAAUGCUUAGAUAUGACGAAGAACUCCGAUUGCGAAGGCAGCUUACGGGAGCACAACUGACGCUGAAGCUCGAAGGUGCGGGUAUCAAACA
rnacentral:rRNA from 1 species